rnacentral:rRNA from 1 species
AGUGAACGCUGGCGGUAGGCCUAACACAUGCAAGUCGAACGGCAGCACAGUAAGAGCUUGCUCUUACGGGUGGCGAGUGGCGGACGGGUGAGGAAUACAUCGGAAUCUACUUUUUCGUGGGGGAUAACGUAGGGAAACUUACGCUAAUACCGCAUACGACCUACGGGUGAAAGCAGGGGAUCUUCGGACCUUGCGCGAUUGAAUGAGCCGAUGUCGGAUUAGCUAGUUGGCGGGGUAAAGGCCCACCAAGGCGACGAUCCGUAGCUGGUCUGAGAGGAUGAUCAGCCACACUGGAACUGAGACACGGUCCAGACUCCUACGGGAGGCAGCAGUGGGGAAUAUUGGACAAUGGGCGCAAGCCUGAUCCAGCCAUGCCGCGUGGGUGAAGAAGGCCUUCGGGUUGUAAAGCCCUUUUGUUGGGAAAGAAGAGCAGCAGGUUAAUACCCCGCUGUUCUGACGGUACCCAAAGAAUAAGCACCGGCUAACUUCGUG